rfam:Haliaeetus albicilla contig21683, whole genome shotgun sequence.
UUAAAGGUUUUUCUAAAAACUAUUUUCAGUAUCAUAAAUAAGUAAG